AUAAGCCCUGGUGAAUGUCGGCCGUAACUAUAACGGUCCUAAGGUUCUCGAUCACACAGCAAUGUGAGGUCGAGAAGGACUGGGACUGUUAUAGGUGUAGAAAGUAACAACUAAAUCAUUACAAAAUUCAAAAGCUACCUACAAUGCAGGAAUGUAUUGUUAGUCCAAACGUGGUUAACGAGAGACCAACACCACGCGUCCGACUCAAUUUAUUGAGGGAUGAAGAUAGAGUCCAACUUGAGGAAUAGUUGAGCGAAAUUCCUUGUCGGGUAAGUUCCGACGCGCACGAAUGGCGUAAUGACUGGACAACUGUCUCGGGAAACAGCUCGGUGAAAAUACAAUGGGGGUGAAGAUGCCCUCUACCUGCAGCUAGACGAAAAGACCCCAGGAGCUUUACUGUAGCUUGAUAUUGCGUGUACGUGCUCAUUGCGUAGCAUAGAUGGGAGAGGUUGAGACAUAAAUUUCGGUUUGUGUGGACUCGUCAGUGAAAUACCAUUCUUUGUGUAUGUACAUGCUAACCUGACCGGCAAAAACGGGCGGAGACAGUAUCUGGCAGGCAGUUUAAGUGGGGCGCUUUCCUCCUAAAAAGUAACGGAGGAGUUUAUUAAGGUUGGCUAGGCGCGAAUGGACACCGUGCCGAUAGUGCAAUGGCAAAAGCCAGCUUAACUGCAAGACGUGAAUGUCACGCAGACGCGAAAGCGGAACAUAGUGAACCGACAGUUUGCAUUAGACGCAGCUGGAGAUUAUCUGAUAAAAGUUACCCUGGGGAUAACAGGCUAGUUCUGCCCAAGAGUUCAUAUCGACGGCAGAGUUCGGCACCUUAACAUAUCGGGGUGCCAUACAAGUAAUUGUAUUAGCGAUUGGUAUUAUUCGGGCGCAAAUGAAUCAUUGGCGCUCGGUGAAUAACAAUAAAAAAUUAGUGGCUUAUAACGGUGAACUCCUUAAUAAUGAACACAUUAAGGACAAUGCCGUGGGAAGUUUCUUCACAAGAACGUGAUCAUACAUUCUUUCGAGAAUGUAACGGCACCGACUAUUUAUUUAGUGGUGAUUGUGUUGAUAACCCUGUAGAGACUUGGAACGUGAAGUUCCGGAGUUGUGAUCAUGAGAAGAUCGCAGCUAAUACGCCAACGCCUUUCUUGAUCGAAAGGAUGAAGACAUAGUCCGAACCUUCUGGUAACAGAAGACAAAUACGACAUUGCGAUGUCGGCUCAUCUUAUCCUGGGGCUGGAGAAGGUCCCAAGGGUUUGGCUGUUCGCCAAUUAAAAAGAUACGUGAGCUGGGUUCAGACCGUCGUGAGACAGGUCGGUCUCCUAUCUGCUGCAGGCGCGGAUUCUUGAAGAGAUUUGCUUCUAGUACGAGAGGACCGAAGUGAACUGACCUCUGGUCUACCUGCUGUCACGCCAGUGGCACCCGCAGGGUAGCUAAGUCGGGAAGGGAUAAGCGCUGAAAGCAUCUAAGCGCGAAACCCACUCUAAGAUAAGGAAUCGUUGAGACUCGUGAGAGAUGAUCACGUGAUAGGCUUUAGGUGUACGCACAGCAAUGUGUUCAGCCAAGAAGUACUAAUUUGUCGAAUUUAUUGGGAAC
rfam:Candidatus Lloydbacteria bacterium RIFCSPHIGHO2_01_FTLL_49_22 rifcsphigho2_01_scaffold_7486, whole genome shotgun sequence.